rnacentral:rRNA from 1 species
GAUGAACGCUGGCGGCGUGCCUAAUACAUGCAAGUCGAGCGAACGGACGAGAAGCUUGCUUCUCUGAUGUUAGCGGCUGACGGGUGAGUAACACGUGGAUAACCUACCUAUAAGACUGGGAUAACUUCGGGAAACCGGAGCUAAUACCGGAUAAUAUUUUGAACCGCAUGGUUCAAAAGUGAAAGACGGUCUUGCUGUCACUUAUAGAUGGAUCCGCGCUGCAUUAGCUAGUUGGUAAGGUAACGGCUUACCAAGGCAACGAUGCAUAGCCGACCUGAGAGGGUGAUCGGCCACACUGGAACUGAGACCCGGUCCAGACUCCUACGGGAGGCAGCAGUCGGGAAUCUUCCGCAAUAGGCGAAAGCCUGACGGAGCAACGCCGCGUGAGAGAUGAAGGUCUUCGGAUCGUAAAACUCUGUUAUUAGGGAAGAACAUAUGUGUAAGUAACUGUGCACAUCUUGACGGUACCUAAUCAGAAAGCCACGGCUAACUACGUG